GAUAGUCAGAUGAGCUCUCCACACACAUGGGCUUGCCAGGAACCAUAUCAACAAAGGCAGCGACACCAGAUUUCAAGAAGUUGGGGCCAUCUACCAGCUUCUUCCCAGAAUGACAAUUAAUCUUCUCUUUCAGCUCAACAAACCUGUGAGCAACAUGAGCUUAUGUGACAAUCCAUCAAGGUGCAUAGCCAGCGCUGAUUUGGCCUGGUUGGUUCCAGAUAAUCUGCUCGAGCUGUGAAGCCAGCUGCUUCCAGUGCAAUCAUCAGCUGUAAGAGGACAACACUCUCACGUUGGGGUGAAGGUGAGGAAGAGGAAGAUGGGCUGGUCUAAGGAUGGAGCUUGCACAUAUGGUGAAAUGGAAGAAGUAGAUUCAUGUGUUGAUUAAAUUUUAAAUGAGGAAUCUGCAGAGUGUUGAAUGAAACAGAGACAAUGACCAGUUCCUAUGGAAUGAAGAUGUACACUCCACCUUCUCUUCUCUCUUUCCCCUAAAGUGAUGACAAAUCUUUAACAAUUUUCGUUUCUUAAGAAUGGAUUUUGAAAGAAUAAACUAAAUCAACAUUUUUCUAUCUGGACACAAGAACCCACAUAAGCAUCCAUUGGCAGUUAUAUGCAUGAAAAAUACCUUCCAGAUUUUGUAGUAGACUUUGAAUUCACUGAUAUAAUAUUAUUAAUAAUACAGAUAACAUUUUGACCAUUUAUUAUGUAGUUAUAGAUUUUUUAUAUGCAUAGCAGAUAUGAGUCUAGGUUCACAGACUCAGUUAAUCUAGAAAAACAUUUCUUGUAACUCAGCUUAACUCUAUGCUCAAUCCACUUACU